UCAGAGGUACUCCUGGGGUAAGGGGUGAAAUCCUGUAAUCCUAGGAGGACCACCUGUGGCGAAGGCGUCUGACUAGAACGAAUCGUGACGGUGAGGAACGAAAGCUAGGGGCGCGAACCGGAUUAGAUACCCGGGUAGUCCUAGCCGUAAACUAUGCGGACUUGGUGUGAGGGUGGCUUUGAGCCGUCCUGGUGCCGAAGGGAAGCUGUUAAGUCCGCCGCCUGGGAAGUACGGUCGCAAGACUGAAACUUAAAGGAAUUGGCGGGGAGCACCACAACGCGUGGAGCCUUGCGGUUUAAUUGGAUUCAACGCCGGAGAUCUCACCAGCGGCGACAGCAGUAUGAUGACCAGGUUGAUGACUUUGUUUGACAAGCUGAGAGGAGGUGCAUGG
rnacentral:rRNA from 1 species